AUUGAACGCUGGCGGCAGGCCUAACACAUGCAAGUCGAGCGAGCGGCGGACGGGUGAGUAAUGUCUGGGAAACUGCCUGAUGGAGGGGGAUAACUACUGGAAACGGUAGCUAAUACCGCAUACCAUCAGAUGUGCCCAGAUGGGAUUAGCUAGUAGGUGGGGUAACGGCUCACCUAGGCGACGAUCCCUAGCUGGUCUGAGGGGAUGACCAGCCACUGUGGGACUGAGACACGGCCCAGACUCCUACGGGAGGCAGGAGUGGGGAAUAUUGGACAAUGGGGGGAACCCUGAUCCAGCCAUGCCGCGUGUGUGAAGAAGGCCUUAUGGUUGUAAAGCACUUUAAGCGAGGAGGCGUUACCCGCAGAAGAAGCACCGGCUAACUCCGUGCCAGCAGCCGCGGUAAUAC
rnacentral:rRNA from 1 species